rnacentral:rRNA from 1 species
UACGUAGGUGGCGAGCGUUUGUCCGGAUUUACUGGGCGUAAAGAGCGCGCAGGCGGCUGGUCAAGUCCGAUGUGAAAGCUCCCGGCUUAACUGGGAAGUUGCAUCGGAAACUGAUCGGCUUGAAGGUGGGAGAGGGUAGCGGAAUUCCCGGUGUAGUGGUGAAAUGCGUAGAUAUCGGGAGGAACACCAGUGGCGAAGGCGGCUACCUGGCCCAUUCUUGACGCUG